CGGAGGGUGCAAGCGUUGUUCGGAAUCACUGGGCGUAAAGGGCGUGUAGGCGGUCCGCUAAGUCUGAUGUGAAAGCCCGGGGCUCACCCCCGGAAGGGCAUUGGAAACUGGCGGACUCGAGUCCCGGAGAGGAAGGUGGAAUUCCUGGUGUAGCGGUGAAAUGCGUAGAUAUCAGGAGGAAUACCGGUGGCGAAGGCGGCCUUCUGGACGGUGACUGACGCUGAGACGCGAAAGCGUGGGGAGCAAACAGGAUUAGAUACCCUGGUAGUCCACGCUGUAAACGAUGAGCACUAGGUGUCGUGGGUAUUGACCCCCGCGGUGCCGACGCUAACGCAUUAAGUGCUCCGCCUGGGGACUACGGCCGCAAGGUUA
rnacentral:rRNA from 1 species